CCCAGCUCAUCAUGCUAGAGCACUUUUUCAAUGUGCUCCCCAACGAGAAGGCGACGACGCAUUCGUAUGUCAAUCCAUAUCAACUUUCUAUGCCAUUGACUGCGACUACCAUGGUGACCACGGGUAAAGGGGGAUUAGGGUUUGAUUCCGUACAGGGACCCUAACAAAUGGCUACCACAUGCAAGGAAGGCAGCAGGCGUGCAAAUUACCCACUCCCAACGCGGGAAGGUAGUGACG
rnacentral:rRNA from 1 species